AGUGAACGCUGGCGGUAGGCCUAACACAUGCAAGUCGAACGGCAGCACAGUAAGAGCUUGCUCUUACGGGUGGCGAGUGUCGGACGGGUGAGUAAUACAUCGGAAUCUACUUUUUCGUGGGUGAUAACGUAGGGAAACUUACGCUAAUACCGCAUACGACCUACUGGUGAAAGCAGGGGAUCUUCGGACCUUGCGCGAUUGAAUGAGCCGAUGUCGGAUUAGCUAGUUGGCGGGGUAAAGGCCCACCAAGGCGACGAUCCGUAGCUGGUCUGAGAGGAUGAUCAGACACACUGGAACUGAGACACGGUACAGACUCCGACGGGAGGAAGCAGUGGGGAAUAUUGGACAAUGGGCGAAAGCCUGAUACAGCCAUACCGCGUGGGUGAAGAAGGAGUUAGGGUUGUAAAGCCAUUUUGUUGGGAAAGAAAAGAAGCAGGUUAAUACCCCGCUGUUAUGACGGUACCCAAAGAAUAAGCACCGGCUAACUUCGUG
rnacentral:rRNA from 1 species